UUAUUGAACAAAGGCUUUUGGCUGGAUGUUGUUGUGCUGGCCCUUUGGUGCAAUGUGCACACUUCCCCCUCCAGUCAUUUGUUUCUUCUGUUCCACCUGUGCACUGCCUGUAGAUACAACUCUGUGUCUAUGAUAAAUGCCUACACACACAAUUGUAUUAGUUGGCAUUAUUACAUGUAUAAAAAAUACAACUUUCAACAAUGGAUCUCUUGGCUCUCGCAUCGAUGAAGAACACAGCGAAAUGUGAUAAGUAAUGUGAAUUGCAGAAUCCAGUGAAUCAUCGAAUCUUUGAACGCAUCUUGCGCUCCUUGGCAUUCUGAGGAGCAUGCCUGUUUGAGUGUCAUUAAACUAUCAAAACUCUUUUCACGAGUGUUUUGGACUUUGGGAGUACUUCUGCUGCUCUGUCUGAGCCAGCUCUCCUCAAAAGCAAUUAGUUGGAGAAGACCCAUCAGUGUGAUAAAUCUUUUACACUGGCCUUCUCCUCUUAAUAACUACAUUAUUUGACCUCAAAUCAGGUAGGAUUACCCGCUGAACUUAAGCAUAUCAAUAAGCGGAGGAAAAGAAACUAACAAGGAUUCCCCUAGUAACUGCGAGUGAAGCGGGAAAAGCUCAAAUUUAAAAUCUGGCAGUCUCCUUUUUCUUUUUUGGCUGUCCGAGUUGUAAUCUAGAGAAGUGCUUACCUGCGCUGGACCAUGUAUAAGUCUCCUGGAAUGGAGCGUCACAGAGGGUGAGAAUCCCGUCUUUGACAUGGACUGCCAGUGCGUUGUGGUGCGCUCUCAAAGAGUCGAGUUGUUUGGGAAUGCAGCUCUAAAUGGGUGGUAAACUCCAUCUAAAGCUAAAUAUUGGCGAGAGACCGAUAGCGAACAAGUACCGUGAGGGAAAGAUGAAAAGGACUUUGGAAAGAGAGUUAAACAGUAUGUGAAAUUGUUGAAAGGGAAACGCUUGAAGUCAGUUAUGUUGGCUAGGGAUCAGCCUAGUUUUCUGGGUGAAUUUCCUAGUUUGACAGGCCAACAUCAGUUCUGACUGCUGGAAAAGAGCAGAGGGAAUGUGGCACCUUUGGGUGUGUUAUAGCCUUUUGUCAUAUGUGGCAGUUGGGACUGAAGGGAUGCAGCAUGCCGUGAGGCUUGGUUUCGA
rnacentral:rRNA from 1 species